AUUAUUCGAUCUUCUCAUCUCCUUCCGAAAUACUCCAAGACUGAAAUACUCCCAAGAUAUACUCUAAGACUGAAAUACUCCCAAAAGGUGCUAGGGUUCCAUGUCUAUUCGAUCAUCUCCUUCCAGAAAUACUCCCAAGAGAGUCUGAAGAACACUUCAAAGGUGCGAUUGAAAGGUUUAAUCGAAGGUGCUGCUGAUUGAUUCUCUCCUUCGAAGCUGCAAUUGAAGAGGAGCAGCAGCAAUCGCAUCGUUGAUACGCCUGUAAUUUCCCGAGCCAUCUUGUGCAACUGUUGCAUUGAAGAUAAUGUUGGUCUGAAGUGAAAUGGUGGUUCCAGUUGAGCACAAAAAGAAGAACACAACGACGAUGAAGACGAUGGAUGAGGAAGAAGCAAACUUUGACUCCAUAGCAAGGAAUUAAAACUGAGAUCAACUUAAAGUAUAUGGAUAGAGUUUAUGAGUAUUUUGUAAAGAACGUAGUGACUUUGCAUGGUGUGCAUGGUUCUUAUAUAGAACAAUUUUACAAUAAGAAUUGCCAAAAAAAUUAAUUUUGGAUUGGAUAGACGACUGGACUUUCCAUCUUUCCAUAUUUGAUGUUAUACAUAAUCCAAUUUUUUUAUUA